AUGGCUCUUUGGUAAUAUUUUAUGAAGCGUCUAGCCUGCCCAGUGAUUAAAUUUAACGGCCGCGGUACUCUGACCGUGCGAAGGUAGCAUAAUCAUUUGUCUUAUAAUUGAAGUCUAGAAUGAAUGGUUUAACAAGAGUAAAGCUGUCUCUAUAUAUCUUAUAUAAUUUUAUGAUUAAGUUAAAAAGCUUAAAUUAAAUUAAAAGACGAGAAGACCCUAUCGAGCUUUAGGAAAAUAAUGAAUUUUUUAACAUUGAUGAAUACUAAAUAUUUAAUAAAACUUUAGUUGGGGCGAUUCAGGAACAAAUAAAGCUUCUUGUUAGUAAGUUAAAUUGAUAGAUAUAGGAUCCAUAAUUUAUGAUCAAAAGAAUUAGUUACCGUAGGGAUAACAGCAUUAUCUUUUUUGAGAGCUCAAAUCGAAAAAAAUGUUUGUGACCUCGAUGUUGGACCAAGAUAACCUAAAAGUGUAGAAGUUUUUAAGGGUUGGUCUGUUCGACCAUUAAAAUCUUACGUGAUCUGAGUUCAGACCGG
rnacentral:rRNA from 1 species